rnacentral:rRNA from 1 species
AACGAACGCUGGCGGCAUGCCUAACACAUGCAAGUCGAACGAAGGCUUCGGCCUUAGUGGCGCACGGGUGCGUAACGCGUGGGAAUCUGCCCUUUGGUUCGGAAUAACAGCUGGAAACGGCUGCUAAUACCGGAUGAUGACGAAAGUCCAAAGAUUUAUCGCCAGAGGAUGAGCCCGCGUUGGAUUAGGUAGUUGGUGGGGUAAAGGCCUACCAAGCCGACGAUCCAUAGCUGGUCUGAGAGGAUGAUCAGCCACACUGGGACUGAGACACGGCCCAGACUCCUACGGGAGGCAGCAGUGGGGAAUAUUGGACAGUGGGCGCAAGCCUGAUCCAGCAAUGCCGCGUGAGUGAUGAGGGCCCUAGGGUUGUAAAGCUCUUUUACCCGGGAAGAUAAUGACUGUACCGGGAGAAUAAGCCCCGGCUAACUCCGUG